UACGGGGGGGGCAAGCGUUGUUCGGAAUCAUUGGGCGUAAAGGGCGUGUAGGCGGUUUGUUAAGUCAUGUGUGAAAUCCCUCGGCUCAACCGGGGAACGACGCAUGAAACUGGCAAGCUAGAGUACCAAAGAGGGGGGUGGAAUUCCCGGUGUAGUGGUGAAAUGCGUAGAUAUCUGGAGGAACACCGGUGGCGAAGGCGGCGUUCUGGACUGCAACUGACACUGAGAAACGAAAGCCAGGGUAGCAAACGGG
rnacentral:rRNA from 1 species